rnacentral:rRNA from 1 species
AUUGAACGCUGGCGGCAUGCCUUACACAUGCAAGUCGAACGGUAACGGGUCCUUCGGGAUGCCGACGAGUGGCGAACGGGUGAGUAAUAUAUCGGAACGUGCCAGUAGUGGGGGAUAACUGCUCGAAAGAGCAGCUAAUACCGCAUACGACCUGAGGGUGAAAGGGGGGGAUCGCAAGACCUCUCGCUAUUGGAGCGGCCGAUAUCAGAUUAGCUAGUUGGUGGGGUAAAGGCCUACCAAGGCAACGAUCUGUAGUUGGUCUGAGAGGACGACCAGCCACACUGGGACUGAGACACGGCCCAGACUCCUACGGGAGGCAGCAGUGGGGAAUUUUGGACAAUGGGCGCAAGCCUGAUCCAGCAAUGCCGCGUGCAGGAAGAAGGCCUUCGGGUUGUAAACUGCUUUUGUCAGGGAAGAAAUCUUCUGGGCUAAUACUCCGGGAGGAUGACGGUACCUGAAGAAUAAGCACCGGCUAACUACGUGCCAGCCGCCGCAGUAA